rnacentral:tRNA from 1 species
UGGGUUGUGGCUCAGAGGAAGAGCGCUUACCUGGCAUUCGUGAGGCACUGAGUUCAAUCCUCAGCACCCCAU